rnacentral:lncRNA from 1 species
GAGGCCGUGGCGCCCAUAGGCCCACAUGCCCGACAGGGUCACCUCCUUGCCGUAGCGCACCGAUUGCGCAUAACAGAGGGGCUCGUCGAGCGCCACCGCCACGCGCUUGGGCAUGGGCUUGGACUCGACACAGCCGUUGGGCACAUGGCGCUGCGCCUCGGGGACAUGCGACUUGGCGCUGUCGCUGUUGCUUUUCUUGCUCUUUUCACGCUGCAUGCCGGACGGUCUGUCUGUCUGUUUUUCGUACUCGUUCUUUUCUCUCUUUCUCCCUUUCGUCGUUGGUCGCGUAGGGCGUGCGCUCACAGCGGUGCAACGGGAAAAAGGAUGCGCGUCGUUGCCGCGUCGAUGGUGG